GUGUGUACGUGAUCCGAGUCCCUGGCAAUCCCCGGACUGGGAACCUGUGAGGACACGUCCUCAGACACGGACCUUCCGCGUCUCACGGCCCAGCACCUCCACUCGCCUCCCUCACCUUUCCCAGUGGUCCUGACACUAAGAAUCCCAAGCGACUCCAGGCCAGGUGCUUCUGUGGAUUCAGAACCAGCUGGCGGAAGAUUUUCUUGACCCACUCUGGAGCCGCUUCCUGUUGCAGAUGGCAAUAAUCCAUCAUCCUGCGGAGGCUGAGCGGCCACGAUCUGAAACUUGUGGACUCUUCAAGGCCUGGGUCUGGCCCUGGUUUACACAGGAGACACCAGGCAAACUCUCCAGGUAGUUCCCCACGCUUCUCCGACUUGGCUGUAGCUGAAGAGCUGGCACACCUUCUUUCUUCACCACAGAGCUGGGGUGCUGGCAGCAAGGAAAUGCCACAGCAGUUUCUCCAAAGCAGUGUCUCCCCCAGACCAGUCCUCUCUGUCAGCUUCUCCGUCCUCCUCAAGUCAAGAAACCUGACUGAUACAGAAAGAGGAGGAAUCAUCUCCCAGGUGGAGAAAUGAUUAGGUAUUUAUUUAUUUAUUUAUUUAUUGUCUUUUCAGGGCCGUUCCAGCAACAUAUGGAGGUUCCCAGUCUAGGGGUUGAAACAGAGCUGUAACUGAGAAGGAGGGAACCGAACUGCAUCUGUGACCUACACUACAACUCACGGCAACGCAGGAUCCUGAACCCACUGAGCAAAGCCAGGGAUUGAUCCCGAAUCCUCAUGGAUACUAGUCAGGUUGGUUAACUGCUAAGUCACAAGGGGAACUCCUGAUGAAGCAUUUAAUCUGAGACAUGCCUAGUCGUAAAUGUCUCCUUAACAUAACUCACAGCAAGACUCUCAAUUCGUUUAUUCAACAAGUAUUUCUGAAGCACCUUGGUUUCCCUGACAUGUCCCAAGGUAACAAUUAUUAUCCACAUUUUUUUCGGUAAGGAAAUUCAAGGACACGAAACCUGCCUAAUGUCCCACAUUGGAAUGUCAGAGCUAGGUCUUGACCCCACGUGCUGUCCCAUUGGGUUUCACUGGCUGCUCUGUGAGGUUGCUUAUUGGAUCACAUUUCAGAAAUGAGCUUCUGGAGCUGCAGGGCACAGGCUGUGCCAUCCCCAGACAGUAGACUGCGACGAGGGAGGGGUAGGCAGUGGCCUCUCUGCUCCCUGGAGAUCCUUCAAGUGAUACCCAUGUGGCCCAGUGAGUUUGAUUCGCCCUGGAGUCCUUCAUGAACCUCACACAAUGCAUUGAUCCAGUAGGUGCUCAAUAGUAGUUUAUUAGG
rnacentral:lncRNA from 1 species